rnacentral:rRNA from 1 species
AAAAAACAUGUCCUUUUGAGUUUUAUUUAAGGUCUGACCUGCCCUAUGAGAAAUUAAAUGGCCGCGGUAUUUUAACCGUGCAAAGGUAGCAUAGUCACUUGUCUCUUAAUUGGAGGCUUGAAUGAAGGGUUGGACGAGAUAUAAACUUUCUUUAUUAUAUUAGGUUGAAUUUGACUUUUGAGUCAAAAGGCUUAAAUUUAUUUAUAGGACGAGAAGACCCUAUAGAAUUUUAUAUUUUAUUAUAAGUAAUUUAUUUAUUUAUGAUUAGAUUUUUUAUAAUAAAAUAUUUCGUUGGGGCGAUGGGGAGAUUUAUUUAACUCUUUUUUUUUAUUUUAACAUUGAUAUAUGUUUUUUUGAUCCUUUUUUAGAGAUUAAAAGAUUAAAUUACCUUAGGGAUAACAGCGUAAUUCUUUUGGAGAGUUCUUAUCGAUAAAAGAGUUUGCGACCUCGAUGUUGAAUUAAGAUAAGUACCAGGGGUAGGUUUUUGGUUACUAGGUCUGUUCGACCUUUAAAUUCUUAC